UCCCUGGUGGUCCAGUGGCUAAGACUCUGUGCUUCCAAUGCAGAGGUCCUUGGUUCGAUUCCUGCUCAGGGAA
rnacentral:tRNA from 1 species